rnacentral:rRNA from 1 species
UACCUAGUAGUACGGAAUAGCCAUUAGAAAUGGUGGGUAAUACUGUAUAAUCCCCGAGGGGGAAAGAUUUAUCGCUAUUAGAUGAGCCUACGUUAGAUUAGCUAGUUGGUGAGGUAAUGGCUUACCAAGGCUAUGAUCUAUAGCUGGUCUGAGAGGACGAUCAGCCACACUGGAACUGAGAUACGGUCCAGACUCCUACGGGAGGCAGCAGUGGGGAAUAUUGGACAAUGGGCGAAAGCCUGAUCCAGCUAUGCCGC